GAUCAGAUGGCCGAGUGGUUAAGGCGUUGGACUGCUAAUCCAAUGGGUUUUACCCGCGUGGGUUCGAAUCCCACUCUGAUCG
rfam:Tetranychus urticae London genomic scaffold, scaffold_27